UAUUUUGUAUCGUUUUGGCGGCAUGGCCGAGUGGUAAGGCGGGGGACUGCAAAUCCUUUCUCCCCAG
rnacentral:tRNA from 1 species